GGGCAAGUAGCCGAAUUGGUAUAGGCGCUAGUCUUAGGAACUAGUUCCGAAAGGAGUGAGGGUUCGAGUCCCUCCUUGCCCA
rnacentral:tRNA from 1 species